rnacentral:piRNA from 1 species
CAAGGUCACACAGAUAGUAAAUGUCAUC